AACGAACGCUGGCGGCAUGCCUAACACAUGCAAGUCGAACGAGACCUUCGGGUCUAGUGGCGCACGGGUGCGUAACGCGUGGGAACCUGCCCUUAGGUUCGGAAUAACUCCCCGAAAGGGGUGCUAAUACCGGAUAAUGUCUUCGGACCAAAGAUUUAUCGCCUUUGGAUGGGCCCGCGUUGGAUUAGCUAGUUGGUAGGGUAAAAGCCUACCAAGGCGACGAUCCAUAGCUGGUCUGAGAGGAUGAUCAGCCACACUGGGACUGAGACACGGCCCAGACUCCUACGGGAGGCAGAAGUGGGGAAUAUUGGACAAUGGGCGAAAGCCUGAUCCAGCAAUGCCGCGUGAGUGAUGAAGGCCUUAGGGUUGUAAAGCUCUUUACCCGGGAUGAUAAUGACAGUACCGGGAGAAUAAGCUCCGGCUAACUCCGUG
rnacentral:rRNA from 1 species